UACGGAGGGUGCAAGCGUUGUUCGGAAUUACUAGGCGUAAAGAGCGUGUAGGCGGCUGACCAAGUCCGGUGUGAAAACCCGGGGCUUACCCCCGGAAGUGCGCUGGAUACUGGUCGACUAGAGUAUGGGAGAGGGAAGUGGAAUUCCUGGUGUAGCGGUGAAAUGCGUAGAUAUCAGGAGGAACACCGGCGGCGAAGGCGGCUUCCUGUACCAAUACUGACGCUGAGAUGCGAAAGCGUGGGGAGCAAACAGG
rnacentral:rRNA from 1 species